UACGAGGGGGGCAAGUGUUGUUCGGAAUCACUGGGCGUAAAGGGAGCGUAGGCGGGCUCUUAAGUUGGAUGUUUAAAACCGGGGCCCAACCCCGGCGUGGCAUCCAAAACUGGGAGUCUUGAAUGGAACAGAGGCUAGUGGAAUUGGAGGUGUAGCGGUGGAAUGCGUAGAGAUCGGGAAGAACACCCGUGGCGAAGGCGGCUUCCUGGACACCAACUGACGCUGAGACGCGAAAGCGUGGGGAGCAAACAGG
rnacentral:rRNA from 1 species